rnacentral:rRNA from 1 species
UACGUAGGGUGCAAGCGUUGUCCGGAAUUAUUGGGCGUAAAGAGCUUGUAGGCGGUUUGUCGCGUCUGCUGUGAAAUUUCGGGGCUCAACCCCGAACUUGCAGUGGGUACGGGCAGACUAGAGUGUGGUAGGGGAGACUGGAAUUCCAGGUGUAGCGGUGAAAUGCGCAGAUAUCAGGAGGAACACCGAUGGCGAAGGCAGGUCUCUGGGCCAUAACUGACGCCGAGAAGCGAAAGCAUGGGGAGCGAACAGG